AUGAAGUGCAAGGACCUGGAAAUCAGACACACCUGGGUUCCUGGUGAGCUUCACUGCUUCCUGGUCUCUGAUAUCAGCUCUGCCCAAAUUUCAGCUGUCACAGAAUGAGUGAUCCUCAUAGUAUAAUGGAAAUGCAUCAUCUCAGUUUCCCCAUGGCCUGAAUGUCCAUACAAAAUGAGAGCCAGUAGAGAAAAACAGAGGACGUGAGGAGUUUUUAAAAAUUGAGGAAAAGUGGAAGGAAAAGUAAGGAUGAAGGUGAAGAUGAAGGAAUAUGUCAGAGAUGCUAGCACUGGCAUCCCCCACCACACAGUACCAUGUACUGCUAAAGAACUCUAGAACAUACAGGGUGUAGACGGCAGUCUUCUUGGGGAAAAAGAGGCUUCAGGAUUGCAAGAUUUCAGCUACUGUCUCUCCUCGGAGCAGGAUUCCAUCUUUUCCAUGGCUGGGGCCCUUGACACAUGUCACUGUGCACUGCUCUUCUCGCUGGGAUUUCCAAAAGACCUUGGCUCAGGUGUCACUUUUGCAGAAAAGCAUUUACUGACUGUUGACUUGGCCAAAUCCCUGUGCUGUGUUUCCUAGUACGCCACACCCUUGGGACUGCAGCCCUGUGAAGACUGAGGUUCUGACGAAAGUCAAGAAAAAUCUGCAUUGCAACUCUUCGAAGAGAAGAAUGUGACAUCUUGUGUCGUUUUCCAGAGGCAGCUGCAUAAAUCACAGGAGACUGAAUACAGGAGAAGAUGUAAGAAUCCAGUCAGCUUCUAUCAAACCAGACAUAAAAGACAUUUGCAGAUAUGUAAAACAAUGCCACUCUUCACAUUGCAUUUUUAAAAAAUAUUAUUUCCCAGAAAAUAUAUCAUCUAUGUUAAUAUGGAAUGGGGUUUGUUAUUCUUAUUUUAAGUAAGGUAUUAUAUAAAUAUUUUUAAUGUCUCAGUUUUAAUUUCUAAUGAAGUCAAUAUCAAUAGAUGUAAUCUAUAUAAACCAAAGUUCUCCGGGGUCUUCAAGAGUGUAAAGGAGUCCUGAGAUCAAAAGGGAUGAAAACCUCUGCCCUACCCUGGCCACCUAAGGGGCUGAAGCCCUCCAGGAGCAGUGCUCCCGGCUCUUGCUGCUGCCCCAGAGCUGAGGGUUUUGGAGCACUGGUGCCCUACAAAACGGAGAGACUGGAAGGAGUUUUCUGGGUCAUGAGGUUGGAACUGCUGGCAGAAGAUCACAGCAUAACUUUCUUCUGGGUUAUAGGAAGAAAUAUAUAAGUAGA
rnacentral:lncRNA from 10 species